AAGGAUCAUUAUUGAAUGAACUUGGUGUGGUUGUUGCUGGCUCUCUCGGGGGCAUGUGCACACCCACCAUCCUCAUAUCUCCACCUGUGCACUUCUUGUAGACCUGGAUACACUUUCCGAGGCAACUCGGUCUGGAGGAAUGCUGUGCAAGCUUUCUUUGUAUUUCCUGGCCUACGUUUUUCAUAUACCCCAUAGCAUGUAACAGAAUGUAUCAUUGGGCCUUUGUGCCUAUAAACCUUAUACAACUUUCAGCAACGGAUCUCUUGGCUCUC
rnacentral:misc_RNA from 1 species